rnacentral:rRNA from 1 species
UACAGAGGGGGCAAGCGUUAUUCGGAAUUAUUGGGCGUAAAGAGCGUGUAGGCGGCCACGCAGGUCCGUUGUGAAAACUGGAGGCUCAACCUCCAGCUGUCGACGGAAACCGUAUGGCUAGAGUCCGGAAGAGGAGAGUGGAAUUCCUGGUGUAGCGGUGAAAUGCGCAGAUAUCAGGAGGAACACCGGUGGCGAAGGCGGGUCUCUGGGCCGAUACUGACGCUGAGGAGCGAAAGCGUGGGGAGCGAACAGG